rnacentral:lncRNA from 1 species
GACAAAUCCGAUUCUAUUGAAUCUAAGGGUAACCCUAAACCACCUACUGCUACUCAAAGACCAAUUUCUAUUAAGUGUUUUAGGUGUCUUAGAGUUGGACACAUCAUGUCACAAUGUCCCAACAAAAUUAUCAUAUUAUUACGAGAUGAUGGCGAGAUAAAGACUAUAAGUGAGUACAGGAGUGAUGAUGAUAGUAGAACAUUACUAGAUGAUUGUGAAGACGAUUUAGUAGCCCCAGUUUAAGGUGAGAU